AUUGAACGCUGGCGGCAGGCUUAAUACAUGCAAGUCGAGGGGUAGCAAGAUUGUAGCAAUACAAUUGUUGACGACCGGCAAACGGGUGCGGAACACGUACACAACCUUCCUACAAGUGGGGAAUAGCCCAGAGAAAUUUGGAUUAAUACCCCGUAACAUAGCGAUGUGGCAUCACAUUGCUAUUAUAGCUUCGGCGCUUGUUGAUGGGUGUGCGGCUGAUUAGAUAGUUGGCGGGGUAACGGCCCACCAAGUCUACGAUCAGUAGCUGAUGUGGAGGCAUGAUCAGCCAACCGGGCACCGGGACACGGGCCCGACCCCUACGGGAGGGAGCAGUAAGGAAUAUUGGACAAUGGGCGCAAGUCUGAUCCAGCCAUGCCGCGUGAAGGAUUAAGGUCCUCUGGAUUUUAAACUUCUUUUAUAAGGGACGAAAAAAGGUCUUUCUAGAUCGUCUGACGGUACCUUAUGAAUAAGCACCGGCUAACUCCGUGCCAGCCGCCGCAGUAACAC
rnacentral:rRNA from 1 species